rnacentral:sRNA from 17 species
GUCAGGGACUCAGGGCUGAAGCCACGCUCGCUUGUAAGAGCAAUACUCAAAACAAGCUGUUCUGACCAGUCUAAGUAAAUUUACUCCGUUAUUUAGGUCACGACACCGGAGAAUGCGACGCUAGUUUUCCGCUCUGUC